GAAUCUGCCUAUUAGUGGGGGACAACGUUCCGAAAGGAGCGCUAAUACCGCAUACGUCCUACGGGAGAAAGCAGGGGACCUUUGGGCCUUGCGCUAAUAGAUGAGCCUAAGUCGGAUUAGCUAGUUGGUAGGGUAAAGGCCUACCAAGGCGACGAUCUGUAGCGGGUCUGAGAGGAUGAUCCGCCACACUGGGACUGAGACACGGCCCAGACUCCUACGGGAGGCAGCAGUGGGGAAUAUUGGACAAUGGGGGGAACCCUGAUCCAGCCAUGCCGCGUGUGUGAAGAAGGCCUUUUGGUUGUAAAGCACUUUAAGCGAGGAGGAGGCUACCUAGAUUAAUACUUUAGGAUAGUGGACGUUACUCGCAGAAUAAGCACCGGCUAACUCUGUGCCAGCAGCCGCGGUAAUACAGAGGGUGCGAGCGUUAAUCGGAUUUACUGGGCGUAAAGCGUGCGUAGGCGGCCAAUUAAGUCAAAUGUGAAAUCCCCGAGCUUAACUUGGGAAUUGCAUUCGAUACUGGUUGGCUAGAGUAUGGGAGAGGAUGGUAGAAUUCCAGGUGUAGCGGUGAAAUGCGUAGAGAUCUGGAGGAAUACCGAUGGCGAAG
rnacentral:rRNA from 1 species